CCUACGGGUGGCUGCAGUGGGGAAUAUUGGACAAUGGGCGAAAGCCUGAUCCAGCCAUGCCGCGUGUGUGAAGAAGGCCUUCGGGUUGUAAAGCACUUUCAGUGGGGAAGAAAGCCUUGGGGCUAAUACCCUCGAGGAAGGACAUCACCCACAGAAGAAGCACCGGCUAACUCCGUGCCAGCAGCCGCGGUAAUACGGAGGGUGCGAGCGUUAAUCGGAAUUACUGGGCGUAAAGCGCGCGUAGGCGGUCUGAUAAGCCGGUUGUGAAAGCCCCGGGCUCAACCUGGGAACGGCAUCCGGAACUGUCAGGCUCGAGUGCAGGAGAGGAAGGUAGAAUUCCCGGUGUAGCGGUGAAAUGCGUAGAGAUCGGGAGGAAUACCAGUGGCGAAGGCGGCCUUCUGGACUGACACUGACGCUGAGGUGCGAAAGCGUGGGUAGCAAACAGGAUUAGAUACCCCGGUAGUC
rnacentral:rRNA from 1 species